UGGCGAACGGGUGAGUAAUACAUCGGAACGUGUCCUGUAGUGGGGGAUAGCCCGGCGAAAGCCGGAUUAAUACCGCAUACGACCUGAGGGAGAAAGCAGGGGGUCUUCGGACCUCGCGCUGUAGGGGCGGCCGAUGGCANAUUANCUAGUUGGUGGGGUAAAGGCCUACCAAGGCGACGAUCUGUAGCUGGUCUGAGAGGACGACCAGCCACACUGGGACUGAGACCCGGCCCAGACUCCUACGGGAGGCAGCAGUGGGGAAUUUUGGACAAUGGGCGCAAGCCUGAUCCAGCAAUGCCGCGUGUGUGAAGAAGGUCUUCGGAUUGUAAAGCACUUUUGUCCGGAAAGAAAACUUCGGGGCUAAUACCCCUGGAGGAUGACGGUACCGGAAGAAUAAGCACCGGCUAACUACGUGCCAGCAGCCGCGGUAAUACGUAGGGUGCGAGCGUUAAUCGGAAUUACUGGGCGUAAAGCGUGCGCAGGCGGUCUGUUAAGACCGAUGUGAAAUCCCCGGGCUCAACCUGGGAACUGCAUUGGUGACUGGCAGGCUUGGAGUGUGGCAGAGGGAGGUAGAAUUCCACGUGUAGCAGUGAAAUGCGUAGAGAUGUGGAGGAAUACCGAUGGCGAAGGCAGCCUCCUGGGCCAACACUGACGCUCAUGCACGAAAGCGUGGGGAGCAAACAGGAUUAGAUACCCUGGUAGUCCACGCCCUAAACGAUGUCAACUAGUUGUUGGGGAUUCAUUUCCUUAGUAACGUAGCUAACGCGUGAAGUUGACCGCCUGGGGAGUACGGUCGCAAGAUUAAAACUCAAAGGAAUUGACGGGGACCCGCACAAGCGGUGGAUGAUGUGGAUUAAUUCGAUGCAACGCGAAAAACCUUACCUACCCUUGACAUGGUCGGAAGUCUGCUGAGAGGCGGAUGUGCUCGAAAGAGAACCGAUGCACAGGUGCUGCAUGGCUGUCGUCAGCUCGUGUCGUGAGAUGUUGGGUUAAGUCCCGCAACGAGCGCAACCCUUGUCCUUAGUUGCUACGCAAGAGCACUCUAAGGAGACUGCCGGUGACAAACCGGAGGAAGGUGGGGAUGACGUCAAGUCCUCAUGGCCCUUAUGGGUAGGGCUUCACA
rnacentral:rRNA from 1 species